CAUUAUUGAGUUAGGGUCUUUUAUGGCCCAACCUCCAACCCCCUUGUAUACCACCAAAUGUUUUAUUGUUGCUUCGGUGGGCCAACAGUGCUCACCGCAGCCCAACCAAAAAUCCUAGUAAUGAUGUUGUCUGAGUUAUCAAAGUAAUAAUUAAAACUUUCAACAACGGAUCUCUUGGUUCCCGCAUCGAUGAAGAACGCAGCGAAAUGCGAUAAGUAAUGCGAAUUGCAGAAUUCAGUGAGUCAUCGAAUCUUUGAACGCACAUUGCGCCCUUUGGUAUUCCGAAGGGCAUGCCUGUCCGAGCGUCACUAUAACCAAUCAAGCUCUGCUUGGCCUUGGGGCUCGCUGUACCAGCGGCCCUUAAAGUCAGUGGCGGUGCCGUCUGGCUCUAAGCGUAGUAAUUCUCCUCGCUAUAGGGCUUUGGCGUCCACUUGUCAGAAUCUUAAUUUUUUUCAAGGUUGACCUCGGAUCAGGUAGGGAUACCC
rnacentral:rRNA from 1 species